rnacentral:rRNA from 1 species
AGCGAACGCUGGCGGCAGGCCUAACACAUGCAAGUCGAACGAACCUUUCGGGGUUAGUGUCGGACGGGUGAGUAACACGUGGGAACGUGCCUUUAGGUUCGGAAUAACUCAGGGAAACUUGUGCUAAUACCGAAUGUGCCCUUCGGGGGAAAGAUUUAUCGCCUUUAGAGCGGCCCGCGUCUGAUUAGCUAGUUGGUUGAGGUAAUGGCUCACCAAGGCGACGAUCAGUAGCUGGUCUGAGAGGAUGAUCAGCCACAUUGGGACUGAGACACGGCCCAAACUCCUACGGGAGGCAGCAGUGGGGAAUCUUGCGCAAUGGGCGAAAGCCUGAAGCAGCCAUGCCGCGUGAAUGAUGAAGGUCUUAGGAUUGUAAAAUUCUUUCACCGGGGACGAUAAUGACGGUACCCGGAGAAGAAGCCCCGGCUAACUUCGUG